rnacentral:rRNA from 1 species
CUUGCUGGGGGGAUUAGUGGCGAACGGGUGAGUAACACGUGAGUAACCUGCCCUUGACUCUGGGAUAAGCGUUGGAAACGACGUCUAAUACCGGAUACGACCAGCCUCGGCAUCGGGUGUUGGUGGAAAGAAUUUUGGUCAAGGAUGGACUCGCGGCCUAUCAGGUAGUUGGUGAGGUAAUGGCUCACCAAGCCUACGACGGGUAGCCGGCCUGAGAGGGUGACCGGCCACACUGGGACUGAGACACGGCCCAGACUCCUACGGGAGGCAGCAGUGGGGAAUAUUGCACAAUGGGCGAAAGCCUGAUGCAGCAACGCCGCGUGAGGGACGACGGCCUUCGGGUUGUAAACCUCUUUUAGCAGGGAAGAAGCGAAAGUGACGGUACCUGCAGAAAAAGCACCGGCUAACUACGUGCCAGCAGCCGCGGUAAUAC